GACGAACGCUGGCGGCGUGCCUAACACAUGCAAGUCGAGCGAAGUUAUCCCUUCGGGGACAACUUAGCGGCGGACGGGUGAGUAACACGUGGGUAACCUGCCUUAUAGAGGGGGAUAGCCUUCCGAAAGGAAGAUUAAUACCGCAUAACAUCAGAUUCUCGCAUGGGAGUUUGAUCAAAGGAGCAAUCCGCUAUAAGAUGGACCCGCGGUGCAUUAGCUAGUUGGUGAGGUAACGGCUCACCAAGGCGACGAUGCUUAGCCGACCGGAGAGGGUGAUGGGCCACAUUGGGACUUAGCCACGGCCCGAAGUCGUACUGGAGUCAGCAGUGGGGAAUAUUGCACAACGGGGGAAAACCUGAUAAAGCAACGCCGCGUGAGUGAUGAAGGCCUUCGGGUUGUAAAGCUCUGUCUUUGGGGACGAUGAUGACGUUACCCAAGGAGGAAGCCACGGCUAACUACGUGCCAGCCGCCGCGGUAA
rnacentral:rRNA from 1 species